rnacentral:rRNA from 1 species
UACGUAGGGGGCGAGCGUUGUCCGGAUUUAUUGGGCGUAAAGAGCUCGUAGGCGGUUUGUCACGUCGGGUGUGAAAGCCCUCGGCUCAACCAAGGAAGUGCAUCCGAAACUGCUGAGCUUGAGUACUUAAGAGGAUCGCGGAAUUCCCGGUGUAGAGGUGAAAUUCGUAGAUAUCGGGAGGAACACCAGCGGCGAAGGCGGCCACUGAGCGAUACUGACGCUGAGAGCGAAAGCGUGGGGAGCAAACAGGAUUAGA